UUUAUUUCCCUUUCAAUGAUAUUCGGUAAAAUUGGAACAAUGCAGAGAAGAGUUGCAUAGAUCCAACAAAAGGAUGGCAUCCACAACAUACAUAAAGAUAAUAAAUAU
rfam:Lupinus angustifolius cultivar Tanjil chromosome LG08, whole genome shotgun sequence.